rnacentral:rRNA from 1 species
CAGCCGCCACGGUAAUACGAAGGGUGCAAGCGUUAAUCGGAAUUACUGGGCGUAAAGCGUGCGUAGGCGGUGAGUUAAGUCUGCUGUGAAAUCCCCGGGCUCAACCUGGGAAUGGCAGUGGAUACUGGCUCGCUAGAGUGUGUCAGAGGAUGGUGGAAUUCCCGGUGUAGCGGUGAAAUGCGUAGAGAUCGGGAGGAACAUCAGUGGCGAAGGCGGCCAUCUGGGACAACACUGACGCUGAGGCACGAAAGCGUGGGGAGCAGACAGGAUUAGAUACCCCGGUAGUCCCUGUCUCUUAUAC